GUACUCCGAAUGCUCUAGAUUNUAGUUUGAUCAUGGCUCAGAAUCAACGCUGGCGGCGUCCUAACACAUGCAAGUCGAACGCGAAAGUGGAGCAAUCCAUGUAGUAGAGUGGCAAACGGGUGAGUAACGCGUGGGUGACCUGCCUUCGAGCGGGGGAUAACGUUCCGAAAGUGGACGCUAAUACCGCAUGACAUCCUGCCUUUGAACAGGCGGAAAUCAAAGCUGGGGAUCGCAAGACCUAGCGCUCGAAGAGGGGCCCGCGUCCGAUUAGCUAGUUGGUGAGUGUAACGGCUCACCAAGGCAACGAUCGGUAGNUCGGCCUGAGAGGGCGGACGGCCACACUGGGACUGAGACACGGCCCAGACUCCUACGGGAAGGGCAGCAGUGGGGAAUUGUUCGCAAUGGGCGCAAGCCUGUACGACGCAACGCCGCGUGGAGGAUGAAGAUCUUCGGGUCGUAAACUCCUUUCGAUCGGGACGAAUGCCUUCGUGCGCUANACAUCGCGUGAAGGGUGACGGUACCGAGAGAAGAAGCCCCGGCU
rnacentral:rRNA from 1 species